rnacentral:lncRNA from 1 species
UGACUCCUUGGGCUUACACCCCCUGGUUCUCACCCACGUCCUUACUUCUGGUGUCCCUCAGCCUACUGGGAUACUCGGUACCUCCCCAGGCCUACUCCAGAUAUGCCUUCUUGCCUCAUAUGCCCAUCCCUUUUUGACCUUCCGAUCUGGGAAACUCCUACUCAUCCUUCAGUGCCCAGAGGUGGAGGGGUGAUGGGGAAGCAGCCUUGAGAGUUUUCCAGCUCACAUCUCAUGUGGAACCACAGGAGGAGGAUAUUAGAAAGUUGCUCUUCAUCAGCACUUCAUGCGGCUUCUCAUUUCUGCCUCGUGUGCUGUUCUUAAAUUUGCAAAGUUGUCAUCACUGUUGAUUAUCCAGUGUGGCCACCUCCGUGACUUCAACAUCCCCUGACAGUGCUAGGCCCGUUUAUUGAAAGCAGAGGACUGCAACUGCAGGCAAAUAACAGGAACACGAGCUAAUGAGUUGGUAACACCAAGAUCCUUCACGAGAGGGAAGAAAGGAAGAGUCCUAGGGUUUAAAUCACCUCCAUAAAACAUCCACAAACAGGACUCUGUGAGGCUGUCAGGAGCCUAUGGUUUCUGUUUAACAUGCACAAUUAGCAUUUUUAGGAAGCAGCCUUUUGGGGAUAAGUAUGUCCUGAAGUGUACCCUUUUAUUCCUUUUUCAGUUAAAACACAUCUGCUUAAAGGCAACCUGCACUUGCCCUGGCCCAUGCACCAACAGUGCACCAUCCCUGGCUCCCCUCCCAUCCCAUCUUCAAAGGUGCUAUGGAAGAAACUGCAGCUGCUUUCACUAAGGAAAAUGUGAUUUUUCUCAGUUUUACCAAAUGUGAAGCAAAUAUUUUUUAAGUGGUCAAAAAUAACUCUCUCCAAAAUGGCUCCCUUGGAUGACAAGGGUUGUACAGACCCCAUUCACUGAAGCUUCAAAUGAAAACUUUACGUCCACUCCCGUGUCCUCACUCUGCAGCCCCCACUCCUGGUACCUCGCUCACGUCAGUAAAGAAUUAGGGUCAUGGACAAAUACACAGGAACAAGGCGCCCAGUGGGCUCUCUGAAAAAAGAAAAGAAACAGCUCUCUUUUUUCAUAGUUGAGGGGAGGUUUAAAUAUAACAAAAUGACCUUUUUUUCCAACAAAAAUUAAUUCUACCAGCCACAGGAAGGGUUGUAAACGAGAUGUCACUUCUCAAUGGUUUAAGAAACAUGUAACCUGGAGAAUCAAUAUUUGUACAAUAUCUUUAAAGUGCCUGUGGUUUCUCAAAGAAAAAAAAUGGAGUAUGAGGCAAGACUAUAAAAUCAAGUGUGGGCAUGUCCAUAAAUAAAUGAAACAAGUUCUGAGACCACAAGCAGAAAUUGAUCUUGCAGCUUAGAAUUCC